rnacentral:rRNA from 1 species
AAUGAACGCUGGCGGCAGGCCUAACACAUGCAAGUCGAACGGGUCCUUCGGGACUAGUGGCGGACGGGUGAGUAACGCGUGGGAACAUACCCAAAGGUACGGAAUAGCCUCGGGAAACUGAGAGUAAUACCGUAUGUGCCCUUCGGGGGAAAGAUUUAUCGCCUUUGGAUUGGCCCGCGUUGGAUUAGGUAGUUGGUGGGGUAAUGGCCUACCAAGCCGACGAUCCAUAGCUGGUUUGAGAGGAUGAUCAGCCACACUGGGACUGAGACACGGCCCAGACUCCUACGGGAGGCAGCAGUGGGGAAUCUUAGACAAUGGGGGAAACCCUGAUCUAGCCAUGCCGCGUGAUCGAUGAAGGCCUUAGGGUUGUAAAGAUCUUUCAGAUGGGAAGAUAAUGACGGUACCAUCAGAAGAAGCCCCGGCUAACUCCGUGCCAGCCAGCCGACGGUAAAAGUACUCUAU